GUAGUCAUAUGCUUGUCUCAAAGAUUAAGCCAUGCAUGUCUAAGUAUAAAUAACUUUAUAUUGUGAAACUGCGAAUGGCUCAUUAAAUCAGUUAUGAUCUACGUGACAAAUUCUUUGCUACUUGGAUAACCGUGGUAAUUCUAGAGCUAAUACAUGCAAAAAAGCCCUGACUUACGAAGGGGUGCACUUAUUAGAUAAAACCAACGCGGGGUAAAACCUGUUUCUUGGUGAAUCAUAAUAAUUAAGCGGAUCGCAUGGCCUUGUGCCGGCGACGGUCCACUCGAUUUUCUGCCCUAUCAUGGUUGAGAUUGUAAGAUAGAGGCUUACAAUGCCUACAACGGGUAACGGGGAAU
rnacentral:rRNA from 1 species